UACGUAUGGUGCAAGCGUUAUCCGGAUUUACUGGGCGUAAAGGGAGCGCAGGCGGCGCGCCAAGUCUGAUGUGAAACCCCGGGGCUCAACCCCGGGCAUGCAUUGGAAACUGGCGGGCUGGAGUGCCGGAGAGGUAAGCGGAAUUCCUAGUGUAGCGGUGAAAUGCGUAGACAUUAGGAGGAACACCAGUGGCGAAGGCGGCUUACUGGACGGCAACUGGCGCUGAGGCUCGAAAGCGUGGGGAGCAAACAGG
rnacentral:rRNA from 1 species